AAAGUGAGUUUUAUUCAAUCAAAUUUUCCAUGCUGGUAUAACUGACACGUGUGUUGAAACAGAUCCUAUUCAUUAUUUGCAUGGGGUCAUGUCUAAAUGAUGCUGGUACAUGUUCUUCAGCUUUUUCACAGCUUGCAAUGGAAUCGAUUAAAAAUAUUGUUCUUCAGUAGAGAAAGCUGCUUGUUAUUUCAAAACUAUGUUUCCCCCGAUAUCUUAAAAAAAAUCUUUUAAAUAAGGCAGACACUUCGGGUUGAACUCUCACCAAACGGCGUGGCUAGGAACAUCCAAUUCUCGAAUCAACAAUGCAGCAAAAACCGACACAUGCUAAGGAUUCAUAAAAACAAAACAACAACGGCAGGAUUGUACAUCCUUGGCUCAACCCACAUCCAUGAGGCACCCUGUUUUACAAAAAAACAAACUUCUCGUCCUCGGUGUUAACGUUACACCCGUGGUGUAUGAUCCCUCUGUACAAGUGUCCCCUAGUUACUUUCAAUGAACUACAAGCCAUUAUGUGAAGCACUGGCUGCUGCUGUAUUUCGGCAUCUAACCUCACUCAUCCUUCUCCUUAUGGGUCUAGGAAAGGAGAGGGGUGGGAGCAAAUGACAUUCCAUACAGGAGUAGAUACGAGUGAAAGAUGGCGACACCGUUGACCUUAUUAGUUUUUGCAGAAACACGUCAACAACAAUACAAAACAAAGUAGUAAACUCAUUUAGGUAGAGCAGAAAGAACGGGCUUUUUUAAAAAAAUAUUUAACGAACUAACUCCUUGUGGAAACGUCGACCUUUUGAAUGUACCAGCAAACUUAUAUAUAACUGCCGAUAAUGGAAAAAACACAAUUUUACUGGAUCUGUGAUUAGACGGUAGGCAGCAUUUAACGGGACAACGCUGCCUUUGUCUUUGCAACGGUUUGAAUCUGCAGAGUGCAUCAAACACAAAGAGCUGCCAAACACGUCAAACUAUUAAACGUCCAGUUCUAUGUGUCUUACUUCAUUGGAACUGUACCAAAAAUAAUGAAAAACCGGAGAAAAAAAAGAGAAGUUAAGACCUAUGAGAAUAGUACAAUUCUAAAUGUCAGAACUGUUUAGGGAAUAUCACAAAAUUAGCUGCACAAUACACUAAAUCAAACUGACCUACUGUUUUUUUCUGACACACAAAAACGGUAUCAACCAAGAACGGAAAAACAAAUUCAGUAAAGUCCAUAAAUGCACCUGGGAGAGAACGGGAUACUUGUGAGUUCCCUGUGUAAAUGCAAUCGCUAAGACUUCAGUUUGUUCAGCUGUUACAUCCGGAACAAACCGCCCCUGCACGUUGCUCCUCAACUCCUUCGGAUUUUGUUCACGAUGCUUUUGUCACUACUCCACCGGCAAGUCGAUUUAAAAACAUUCAGUCUCCUGGGCAGGGUCCUGGGGAGGGUCACACACAUUUAUUUGCACGAGAGAGAUGAGGACUACCACGCUAAGCUUUAGUGGGCAACGUACUGGGGGCACUUGGGGAUCGGAGUGCUUUUGCCCAAGGGCACUUUGAAAGCAGCUGGGCACUUUCUGCACUCAACGUUUUCAGAAUUGGCCUUAGGUUCAAAAGUGCCAAACUACUGAUCACAAACUCUCAGCGACGGGCCGCUGCCGCCGCCCCCACGUCUGAGAAACUCGUCUAAUAAAUGCUUCAAGAGUUUGGUUAUGAAUACAAGAGAUAGUGCUUUGCCAGUGAUGUUACCAGCAAUGAUUAAACGGACAAAACAAUGAAAUAAAACAUGACUCCAAUUGCUUGGGAGGAGAGAAAAGAAGGAUUUUUGUUUGUUGCAAAUUUGAGUUCUUAGUAAGCGGUGAACCUGUCUCGAGACAGUAGCCAAGGCAUAUUUAUCAAUCAUUUCCAUCCAUCCAUUAUCCAAACCGCUUAUCCUGCUCUCAGGGUCACGGGGGAUGCUGGAGCCUCUCCCAGCAGUCAUUGGGCGGCAGGCGGGGAGACACCCUGGACAGGCCGCCAGGCCAUCACAGGGCCGACACACACACACACACCUACGGACAAUUUAGUAUGGCUGAUUCACCUGACCUACUCGUCUUUGGACUGUGGGAGGAAACCCAUGUGGACAUGGGGAGAACAUGCAAACUCCACACAGAGGACGACCCGGGGCGACCCUCAAGGUUGGACUACCCCAGGGCUCGAACCCAGGACCUUCUUGCUGUCAUUGUUCAAUCAUUUCCAAUAAAACAUUAAAACUUAUCAAGUCCUUCAUUGACUAAAGCAGGCAGGCAGGGAUAGCCGACCCGCCUGUGAUAUGUACUGUACUGUCCACUAUGAUGUCAUAUGCUCUAAUCAGCUUACACAUGUCACUUCGUUUAUUCGGCCACUGGUGCUGCGUACAGCCCACUUUGCUAGCUGGGGUAUUUGAAGAGCAAAUAGAAAAGCCUCCGACAUAAGCAGUGAAACAAUUCUGGGCCAAUUUCCCGCCUAGAGAGACAGAAACAUGGCGGACAGUGCAUAUUUAAAGACUAGAGGGAAGGAUGAGUAUUUUUAAAGUUUUAUUUGGGGGGGGGGUCAAUCUAGAAACAGGCUUGCAGCUCUGUUUCUUCAUUUGUAAAAUCCGGGCUGCAGUAAAACCCAGUCGUGUUGAAAUAAGGGGCCAGCCGCCCCUUUUUAAGGACCCUUUCGCUCGACAACAAACUCAAAAAUUGUGCUUCGCUGACGCAAUACAUUCUUCAUCAAAAAAAACGUUUAAAACCCACGUUUGUCUAAACUGUCCGUACAAACUCCAAAAGUCGAAGACGUCUAAACUACUUCUGAGGAAAAUACUUUGGAUCAGUUCUCCCAACCCCUGAACUCGCACUACAGGAAUAAAUAUGAUCUGGCAUUAAAUGUACAGGUGGACUCGUCCAGCAUCUUCCUGCCGUGCUUCACCCGAGGCCUCGGAGUGCUUGGCUGGGUGGAGGUACUUAGCAAAGGCUCCUCUCUGCGGUGUCUCGGUGCGGACUCUGCUCCACAGAUGGUGGCUUCUGCUGGGGGAGUGCUGGGCCUUUGCUCAUCCUCAGAGAAGCAGGGCUCCUCUUGGGAUGCUGGUCCAGGUCUGACUGCUGGUGUCAUCUGAGGGAAGAGGACAGAGAGAGAGAGGAGGAAGGAGCUGAGGUAGAGGAGGAAAGCUGAAGGCAAAAGAAGGAAACUGGAGCACCCGGAGGAAACCCACACAGACACUGGGAGAACAUGCAAACUUCACACAGAAAGGACCUGGGAUGGUCUGAGGUUCAAACCCAGGACCUUCUUACUGUGAGGCGACAGCGCUAGCCACUGGGCCACCGUGCCACCCACGGAACACUAAAAGACCACAAAAUCUGAGCUUCUGAUGUUUUCUGAGCUCGACCGCAGCCCAACGCACAAGUUGAAAGCAGCUAGCAGCAAGUUCGAAUCCCUGGUGAACAAGCUUGUAAAAGACCUUUACCAGCAUGGAGUAAAAGCCAGCCUCAGCUGUGGGAAGGUCUGGACACGACAGCACGGGUGACCCUGUUUCAUUCUGAAUGUGUGACGAGGAAUACUCAGGCACA